GGAACGAUCUCACUAUGAUUUGCUACAGCAUCCAAUUCAGUACUCAAACCUGUAUCGAGAGAUGAGGAGAAGCCAGCGGAAGCUCGGAUUAGAGGAAACGACCGGCGAGGCUUGAAAAUCAAAUUCGGCUUCGCAAAAUUAACUGCAUUUCUCAGUUUCCUGUCCUGGAGAGCUGAGGAAGAUGAGAGAGAGGAGUAUAGCGGAGAAUGCAAAGAGGAUGACAUUUUCAACUGAGAGAGAGAGAGA
rnacentral:misc_RNA from 1 species